GACGAACGCUGGCGGCGUGCUUAACACAUGCAAGUCGAACGGAAAGGCCCUGCUUUUGUGGGGUGCUCGAGUGGCGAACGGGUGAGUAACACGUGAGUAACCUGCCCUUGACUUUGGGAUAACUUCAGGAAACUGGGGCUAAUACCGGAUAGGAGCUCCUGCUGCAUGGUGGGGGUUGGAAAGUUUCGGCGGUUGGGGAUGGACUCGCGGCUUAUCAGCUUGUUGGUGGGGUAGUGGCUUACCAAGGCUUUGACGGGUAGCCGGCCUGAGAGGGUGACCGGCCACAUUGGGACUGAGAUACGGCCCAGACUCCUACGGGAGGCAGCAGUGGGGAAUAUUGCACAAUGGGCGGAAGCCUGAUGCAGCAACGCCGCGUGCGGGAUGACGGCCUUCGGGUUGUAAACCGCUUUCGCCUGUGACGAAGCGUGAGUGACGGUAAUGGGUAAAGAAGCACCGGCUAACUACGUGCCAGCAGCCGCGGUGAUACGUAGGGUGCGAGCGUUGUCCGGAUUUAUUGGGCGUAAAGGGCUCGUAGGUGGUUGAUCGCGUCGGAAGUGUAAUCUUGGGGCUUAACCCUGAGCGUGCUUUCGAUACGGGUUGACUUGAGGAAGGUAGGGGAGAAUGGAAUUCCUGGUGGAGCGGUGGAAUGCGCAGAUAUCGGGAGGAACACCAGUGGCGAAGGCGGUUCUCUGGGCCUUUCCUGACGCUGAGGAGCGAAAGCGUGGGGAGCGAACAGGCUUAGAUACCCUGGUAGUCCACGCUGUAAACGGUGGGUACUAGGUGUGGGGUCCAUUCCACGGGUUCCGUGCCGUAGCUAACGCUUUAAGUACCCCGCCUGGGGAGUACGGCCGCAAGGCUAAAACUCAAAGGAAUUGACGGGGCCCCGCACAAGCGGCGGAGCAUGCGGAUUAAUUCGAUGCAACGCGUAGAACCUUACCUGGGUUUGACAUGGAUCGGGAGUGCUCAGAGAUGGGUGUGCCUCUUUUGGGGUCGGUUCACAGGUGGUGCAUGGCUGUCGUCAGCUCGUGUCGUGAGAUGUUGGGUUAAGUCCCGCAACGAGCGCAACCCUUGUUCACUGUUGCCAGCACGUUAUGGUGGGGACUCAGUGGAGACCGCCGGGGUCAACUCGGAGGAAGGUGGGGAUGACGUCAAGUCAUCAUGCCCCUUAUGUCCAGGGCUUCACGCAUGCUACAAUGGCUGGUACAGAGAGUGGCGAGCCUGUGAGGGUGAGCGAAUCCCGGAAAGCCGGUCUCAGUUCGGAUUGGGGUCUGCAACUCGACCUCAUGAAGUCGGAGUCGCUAGUAAUCGCAGAUCAGCAACGCUGCGGUGAAUACGUUCCCGGG
rnacentral:rRNA from 1 species